rnacentral:rRNA from 1 species
CUCCGCCGGCGACCGGCGCACGGGUGAGUAACACGUAUGCAACCUGCCCCUGUCAGGGGGACAACCCGCCGAAAGGCGGGCUAAACCCGCGUACAUGCCACCGGGGCAUCCCGGAGGCAGGAAAAGGCUUCGGCCGGACAGGGAUGGGCAUGCGGCGCAUUAGGCAGUAGGCGGGGUAACGGCCCACCUAACCGACGAUGCGUAGGGGUUCUGAGAGGAAGGUCCCCCACACUGGUACUGAGACACGGACCAGACUCCUACGGGAGGCAGCAG